rnacentral:rRNA from 1 species
UACGAAGGGUGCAAGCGUUACUCGGAAUUACUGGGCGUAAAGCGUGCGUAGGUGGUUUGUUAAGUCUGUUGUGAAAGCCCCGGGCUCAACCUGGGAAUGGCAAUGGAUACUGGCAAGCUAGAGUGCGGUAGAGGGUAGUGGAAUUCCCGGUGUAGCGGUGAAAUGCGUAGAGAUCGGGAGGAACACCUGUGGCGAAAGCGGCGCACUGGACCACAACUGACGCUGAGGCGCGAAAGCUAGGGGAGCAAACAGG